ensembl:lncRNA
AGUCUAUUCUUCAAUUCAAGAUGAAAGCUGUCCUGACUAUUCUCGUUGUGUCCAUGCUGUUAUGUGUUGUAUUGUCAUCAGAAGAAUCUGAUGCACUGCACUGCACAGGGGAGAAACUGAGUGAUGGACAGCUCUACUUCAGUAUGCCGUAUGAAGUUAAGGAGGACAUCAAUGACUGCGAGACCCAGUGGCUUGUUGAUGAGAAAGUGGCAGGGAUUUUUGAUGCUGAAGGAGAAAUGCAGUUCAUAUUCCCAAUUAAAAAUUUGACCGUGAAUGCAGCCAUCUUACAAACGUGCCCUGAAAGACUUGCAUGCCUGCUAAUCUGCCCCAGCGCCAAUAUCAAUAAAAAGCAGCAGUGCUCAUGUGAUGCAUCUCCUCUGACUACGCUUCCUGAAGUGGGUUUUCCUAGCUGGAGCGUUUAUAUUUGUAUUGGACUGGGUGGAUUUGCGGUGUUGGUGAUUGUCAUUGUCAUCACUGUGCUUUAUCGGAAAAGACAAAGGCCAAGAUAUGUUCUUAGUGGCCAAGNGGAAUACUGCUGUUAUGAUGUAAAAUAGUUCAAAUCAUUAUCUUUGAUCAUAUCUUUUAAAAUGUACCACAUUAUAUAAGGCAGUGAAUUACAGUACAAACAGCGGUGAGCAUCACUAAAAGCAUUUCCCUUUCCUUUUUAUUUAACCACAGGAGAAGUUACAUUGUUGCACCUGGGUGUUCUUCAGUCUCUAGUCCUUCACUAUGCUCUUAUCUUUUAUAUAACAAGAUAUAAAACUUUUGCUUUGGUAUUUACCUUUUUUACUAAACUGAUCAUGACUCUGAAAUGAAGCUAAAUUAUGAAAUAAUGAUAUUAUUUAAUUAUAUAUUAUAGAACUAUAUAUUUAUAUUUAUUUAUAUAAUAUUUUUUUCUGUUAUGUAAACAGACACAUUUAGUAUGCAUAACUUUACAUAUGUAUAUGCACGUAACAUUAUAAAUAAAUAACUAAAUUAUAAUGUAACUUCA